rnacentral:rRNA from 1 species
UACGUAGGGUGCGAGCGUUGUCCGGAUUUACUGGGCGUAAAGAGCGCGCAGGCGGUCGUUCAAGUCGAGUGUGAAAGCCCCCGGCUCAACUGGGGAGGGUCAUUCGAUACUGAUCGACUCGAAGGCAGGAGAGGGUAGUGGAAUUCCCGGUGUAGUGGUGAAAUGCGUAGAUAUCGGGAGGAACACCAGUGGCGAAGGCGACUACCUGGCCUGUUCUUGACGCUGAGGCGCGAAAGCUAGGGGAGCAAACGGG